CGUAGGGCGAGCGUUGUCCGGAAUGAUUGGGCGUAAAGCGCGCGCAGGCGGCCCUUUAAGUCUGAUGUAAAGCCCGCGGCUUAACCGCGGAAGGUCAUUGGAAACUGGGGACUUGAGGCUAGGAGAGGGAAGUGGAAUUCCUGGUGUAGCGGUGAAAUGCGUAGAGAUCAGGAGGAAUACCGAUGGCGAAAGCAACUUCCUGGCCUAGAACUGACGCUGAGGCGCGAAAGCGUGGGGAGCAAACAGGAUU
rnacentral:rRNA from 1 species